ensembl:rRNA 5S_rRNA 5S ribosomal RNA
ACCUACAGCCAUACCACCUUGCGCACCCAAUCUCACCUGACCUCAGAAGCUAAGCAGAGUGAGACCUUGUUAGUACUGGGAGGAAAAACAAAGACGGAAGCCAGGCUCUGUGCUGC